GGACAUAUCUCGUUGAAGCACCUGUUCUCUUACGAUCAUCGAAGUUAAGCAACUUCGAGCCGAGUUAGUACAUAGAUGUGUGACCAUUUUGGAAUACCAAGU